CAAACUAUAAUCUAGGAUUUAUUUUUAUUUACAUUAAAAAUUUAUUUGUGCAAUUCAAAUUAGUUUGA
rnacentral:tRNA from 1 species